AUGCAUGCAAACAAAAGUUCUCCACGAAAAAAGACGGAUGACGGCGAGGCGGACCUCACCGUCGACCUGUAUCCAUUCAUACGCGAAUACAAAGGCGGCCGUGUGGAGCGCUUCCUGCGCAGCCCAUUCGUGGCAGCGUCGGAGGAUGCGGCUGCCAACCGUGGCGUGGCAACGAGGGACGUCGUUGUCGACGAAAACACGGGAGUAUCGGCACGCCUGUUUCUUCCCUCCAACGCAGCUGCUGCUGCUGCCACCGGCGGCGAGAGGCUCCCCGUCAUCAUGUACGUCCACGGCGGAUCCUUCUGCACCGAGAGCGCCUUCUGCCGCACGUACAACAACUACGCCAGGUCACUCGCCGCGCGCGCCGGGGCGCUCGUCGUGUCCGUUGAGUACCGUCUCGCGCCAGAGCAUCCCGUCCCUGCGGCCUACGACGAUGCAUGGGCGGCGCUCCAGUGGGUGGCGUCCGUCUCUGACCCCUGGCUCUCCGACUACGCCGACCCCGGGCGCACGUUCCUCGCCGGUGACAGCGCCGGCGGGAACAUCGUCUACAACACGGCGGUGCGUGCGGCCAGCGGUGGUGGCACUGGAAACCACAUCGACGUCGAGGGCCUUGUCAUCGUGCACCCAUACUUCUGGGGCGUCGAGCGGCUGUCCAGCUCCGAGCUAGUCUGGGACGGCGGCGCCAUGUUUACACCCGAGUUCAUCGACGGGGUCUGGCCGUUCGUUACGGCGGGCCGUCUCGGCAACGAUGAUUGCCGGGUCAACCCUAUCGACGAGGAAAUCGCCUCGCUGACAUGCCGUCGUGUGCUGGUCGCCGUCGCCGAGAAGGACACCCUGCGUGACCGCGGGCGCUGUUUGGCGGCCCGCGUGCGUGACUGCUGCGCGUGGGCGGAUGAUGAGAACGCGGUGACAUUGGUGGAGUCGGAGGGCGAAGACCAUGGCUUCCACCUGUACAACCCACUCCGUGCGACCAGUAAGGUUCUCAUGGAGGCCAUAGUGCAGUUCAUCAACCAGCCCACCGCCAUGCCAUUGCCGGCCGCUUUGCUCCCGGAGCUGCACGAGCUGCAUGCAUGCGGUGGUAACAAGGAGCCAUCUGCUGGUGACAUGGGCUCAUGCUUGCCUAUUCUAGGCGUGCCUACUAGGCCGUAUAUGGACGUAUUUGGUUAUGGCAUGGCCAUGAAAGCUUCGAGUGUCCCACAAGGUAUGACACGUACUAGCUGCUUACACAUUGGUGGACAGGGGAGAAGAGCAUCCAAGACUAGAUACGUGUUACCUUUGAGCCAUGUCGUCAGGCAUGACAAGACGAACAUGAGGUUCUCGUUAUCAGCAGCAACAGCUCCGGGGACUUGUGUUUUUCACAACUUCAUCUAG
rnacentral:rRNA from 1 species